UAUGAUAUCAAUGGACUUGCAUUUAAGUCACUGGUUUUUUUUUUACAGAGAAAGAGUUCAGUCAUAGUGAGCUGCCCAAUCCUUUAAGGCUACAAUUCCACUGUUCAAAUAUAUACACACUAACUCUGCAUGUGUUCUGUGACUUUGGUUAUCUCUGUUUUGAGCUGCAAAUUGCUGUUUUUCAGGUGAGUAUGCCAGCUCCUCUG
rnacentral:lncRNA from 1 species